rnacentral:rRNA from 1 species
GACGAACGCUGGCGGCGUGCCUAAUACAUGCAAGUUGAGCGCUGAAGGUUGGUACUUGUACCAACUGGAUGAGCAGCGAACGGGUGAGUAACGCGUGGGGAAUCUGCCUUUGAGCGGGGGACAACAUUUGGAAACGAAUGCUAAUACCGCAUAAAAACUUUAAACACAAGUUUUAAGUUUGAAAGAUGCAAUUGCAUCACUCAAAGAUGAUCCCGCGUUGUAUUAGCUAGUUGGUGAGGUAAAGGCUCACCAAGGCGAUGAUACAUAGCCGACCUGAGAGGGUGAUCGGCCACAUUGGGACUGAGACACGGCCCAAACUCCUACGGGAGGCAGCAGUAGGGAACCUUCGGCAAUGGACGAAAGUCUGACCGAGCAACGCCGCGUGAGUGAAGAAGGUUUUCGGAUCGUAAAACUCUGUUGGUAGAGAAGAACGUUGGUGAGAGUGGAAAGCUCAUCAAGUGACGGUAACUACCCAGAAAGGGACGGCUAACUACGUGCCAGCCGCCGCGGUAACAC